rnacentral:rRNA from 1 species
UACGAAGGGUGCAAGCGUUACUCGAAGAUUACUGGGCGUAAAGCGUGCGUAGGUGGUUUGUUAAGUCUGUUGUGAAAGCCCCGGGCUCAACCUGGGAAUGGCAAUGGAUACUGGCAAGCUAGAGUGCGGUAGAGGGUAGUGGAAUUCCCGGUGUAGCGGUGAAAUGCGUAGAGAUCGGGAGGAACACCAGUGGCGAAGGCGGCUACCUGGACCAGCACUGACACUGAGGCACGAAAGCGUGGGGGAGCAAACAGG